AGCCACCCACCGCCUCUUCAGGUUACGAUUGGGACGUGGUGUCUCAUAUGGUCGAGUUGUAAUUUGGAGGAGCUUCCGUUUGGAUUGGGAUCACAAGAUUUGAAAUUGGAUCCGUGUGUGUGAGACUCAUUUACCGCUUCCGCACAACAAGUGGUAUCAGAGCCCAGGUUACGCUUGAGAUUUAGUGUCUCAUACGGUCAAGUUGCACAAGAUUUGGAAUUGGAUGCUUGUGGUCAAGGUGGAGCUAUUGGAAUUCAGAUCAUGAGACAAUUGAAGAUGGCUCGAAUCAUGUCAAGGUGGAGAUUGUUGGAAAAGUGUGGCUUAAAUUAGAGCCAUUUGGGAUCCCACAUCAGAAAAGUGAAGAGUCAUCCUUGGGUUAUAAGGAAUGAAGCCAUCUCUCUUUAAGCCCGACACUUGGAAUGAACAAGUCUAAAAUUCUCAACUCUCUCAACUCCACUCUACUGAAAGCUCCGCCUUCGAAAACACUUCGCCGAAAACUCGAGAUCUCCUGCGACGACAAGCCCAUGCGACAGAUCUUUCGCAUCUCUCUACCGGAACCCGAAUCUCGGAUUUACCGCGGCGGUGCAUUUCGAUCAAGAAAACCCUAGUUUCAGUCAACCAGAAAACUCGACCAUCGAUCUGCUAGAACCGCUCUCACUCACCCUACUUAUGAAGUGGUAUUAUGCUCAAAUUCAUUUUCAAUUUCAAAUUCGUUUUCAACUACAAAUGAGGUUUCCAAUGGGGAGCUCUUGGUUUAUCGAUUUGGGGGUUUUGCGAUUUGGUGGUUUUCCUGUUCAGAGACCAAUGGAGCCAUAAAUUUUCCUAUAGGGAAACCAUUCAAGCUUUUCUCGUUUAUUUUCAGAAUCAAGAGACCAGAUGAUCCUCAUAAAUCAAAGCUUAGAUCCUGCAAAGGAAAAGAAGUGAAGGCAAAUAAUCUUGCUAUUAAGGUGAUUUUCCCAUAGUGAAAAAUUCUAUGCAAACUCUGAAGGCAAGUGAUUGGCAUCUUGAAGGAGCUGAGAGCAUUUAAGAUAUUCUACAGCCAAGCCACAAGAGGAGAAGAAAAAACAAAUGUCCAAGCUCUAAAGUACAUUGCAAAUUAUUUUGCUAGUCAGCUUCAGUAGUAAGUUCUGAUGGAACAAUUAAUGACUAUUGUAGAUGUAUUAUUUGAUGGUUGUAAUGACAUUGGAAUUUCCAUAAUGAAUGAGAACAUCAAUGAAUGGCAAUAGCAGACUUAUGUGUCA